rnacentral:tmRNA from 1 species
GGGGAUGCAAUGGUUUCGACGGGGGUUUUGUAAACGAGAAUAGCCAUCCGCACUUGGUAACUGCGUCAAAAUGCCUAAAAUUUUUAAAAAGAAACGACAAAGAUUAUUCUUUAAUGGCAGCCUAAGCUGCUGCCCGUUGGCCUUCGAUUGCUCACAGUUGAAGUCACCAGCGUCGACCUUGUGAGGCACUUUUUCUCCUAAGCUUUGCGGAGGAAAAAGAAACAUGAAGCUACUGAAGGUAAAAGCCUGUUGUUCGGCGGUUAUCUGAGGGAAUGUUAAAAGAGCAACUGUGAUGGGAGAAGUUUUUGUGGAGAGGCCUUCGGACAGGAGUUCGAUUCUCCUCAUCUCCAUUC